GUGCCAUUGAUGGGGAUGCAAUGGGGUCCCUUAUGGGGUGGUGGGGAUGCAAUGGGAUCACAUGGGGUUGUGGGGUUGUUCUGGGUUCCCUUAUGGGGCAGUGGUGCCAUUGAUGGGGUAUUGGGGAUGCAAUGGGGUGACAUGGAGUGGUGGGGUUGCUAUGGGGUCCCUUAUGGGGUGGUGGGGUUGUUAUGGGAUCACAUGGGGUGGUGGGGAUGCAAUGGGAUCAUAUGGGGUUGUGGGGUUGUUAUGGGGUCCCUUAUGGGGCAGUGGUGCCAUUGAUGGGGUAUUGGGGUUGCUAUGGGGUCCCUUAUGGGGCGGUGGGGUUGUUAUGGGAUCAUAUGGGGUGGUGGGGUUGUUUUGGGUUCCCUUAUGGGGCGGUGGGGAUGCAAUGGGAUCAUAUGGGGCGGUGGGGUUGUUAUGGGGUCCCUUAUGGGGUGGUGGGGAUGCUAUGGGGUCCCUUAUGGGGUGGUGGAGUUGUUAUGGGGUCCCUUAUGGGGUGGUGGGGUUGUUAUGGGAUCAUAUGGGAUGGUGGGGUUGUUCUGGAGUCCCUUAUGGGGUGGUGGGGUUGUUAUGGGAUCACAUGGGGUGGUGGGGAUGCAAUGGGAUCAUAUGGGGUUGUGGGGUUGUUCUGGGGCCAUUGAUGGGUCAUUGGGGUUGUUAUGGGGUCCCUUAUGGGGUGGUGGGGUUGUUCUGGGGUUCCUUAUGGGGUGGUGGGGAUGCAAUGGGAUCAUAUGGGGUGGUGGGGUUGUUCUGGGGUCCCUUAUGGGGUGGCGGGGUUGUUCUGGGGUCCAUUAUGGGGUGGUGGGGAUGCAGUGGGAUCACAUGGGGUGGUGGGGUUGCUCUGGGUUCCCUUAUGGGGUGGUGGGGUUGUUAUGGGAUCACAUGGGGCGAUGGGGUCGUUCUGGGGUCCCUUAUGGGGUGGUGGGGAUGCAAUGGGAUCAUAUGGGGUUGUUAUGGGGUCCCUUAUGGGACAGUGGUGCCAUUGAUGGGGUAUUGGGGAUGCAAUGGGGUGACAUGGAGUGGUGGGGUUGCUAUGGGGUCCCUUAUGGGGUGGUGGGGAUGCAAUGAGAUCAUAUGGGGCAGUGGGGUUGCUAUGGGGUCCCUUAUGGGGCGAUGGGGUUGUUCUGGGGUCCCUUAUAGGGUGGUGGGGAUGCAAUGGGGUCCCUUAUGGGGUGGUGGGGUUGUUACAGUGUUCCUUAUGGGACAGUGGUGCCAUUGAU
rnacentral:lncRNA from 1 species